rnacentral:lncRNA from 1 species
AGCAAACUAACAAGUCACAAAGGCACAGCAUCGUUUGUUGGUGGAAGUUUGUUAUUUUGUAAAAAUAGACUGAUAGUGUGAAUGACUUAUUUAGAAAUUUUCUAGGUAAUUUAGCAAUAAGUAAUUUAGACACUACAAAUCCUGUUUAUAUUGAAACUUCUGGUACAUAGAUAGAGCCAAGUAGGACAAAAACAUUUAUUUAUUUAUACCUGUAACACAUAAAUAGAAAAACAUUCACUAUCUUCAUAUAGCAGAAUGAAUGGCAAGGGUGUCCCAGUGUUUUAGUAGAGAGAAAGAAGACACUAUCCAGAGUUAUCACUAAUGAGUAGGAGUGAUACAGGAAUUUAAAAUUAAGCCCACAUCAUGCAGCAAUAUUUGGCGUCAUAAGCACAAUUCUGCUACUCUCUGAGAUGCUUCCAUGUCGUGCCUGGUCCAAAAUGUGCUCCUAAUGACGGAGCCACCUAAAGAGCAUCACGUUACCUACCGCCUCCUCUCCACCCAGUAACCACUGCUGUACUUCAAAGACGAGGAGGGCUAUGUAUUUUGCAUUCAUUGUGAAGUCAUUCACUCAAAUCUCCAUCUGCUGAAAUGAUGGCAACUUCCUCAGUCAGGGCAGAACCCCAGUUUGACAACAAGGCGUGUGUAUCCAUAGAUCUCUCUCUCUGUGCUACCGAAUGAGGGUUCUACACUGAGGCCGUCAAUUUGUUGUCCAAACAUUCCCAGAGAAGCAGCCUCAGAGACACCAGGCAUGGCCCAUCAGCACCCUCCUCAGAGACCUGAGUUCAGCAUUGUGGGAGCCCCUCCAAGCUCCUGAGACACCAGCACCAUCUGGCAAACACUCCGUUUCAGAUGUCUGGGUCUUACCUCUCAGGAAACAGAGCGACCUCAGGGCAAGGGACCACGAGAAAUGAAGACAUUCCCUAGGUAUCUGAGAGCUGGCAAUCAAAAGCUGAUGGAGGAUGCUUCAGUAUUUCAACUAUAUGCAAGAACUGAUCAAGACGCCAUAAAGUGCAACUUGGAGCAACUGCAGACCAUGAAAUCGAAUAUUUUCUACAAAUAACAAUAAAGAAAUGAAAUAUAGCAUGCGGAAGGGUGUAGGAACAUAAAACUGCAUGGACAAAGAAGAGAAUCCGUGGAUCACGCAGAAACAAUAUAAGAGACAAAAGUGGAACUUCUGCAGUCCCAGCUACUCAGAAGGCUGACGCAGGAGGAUCGCUUGAGCCCAGGAGUUUGAGCCUGCAGCGAGCUAUGUUCAUACCACUGCACCCCAGCCUGAGUGACAGAGUAAAACCCUGUCUCUAAAAAAGAAAAAAAAAAGUAGAACCCAUAGGAAGCAGGUCAAAGGAAUAAAGGAAUUCCCAUGUUAUUAUUUGUUGUUGUUGUUAAAAACAUAUUGAGUGAAUGAAAGCAGACACACAUAACCAUAUACUGAUUGAUUCUAUUUAUAUGAAGUUCAUAAAUCAACAAAGCAAAUCUAUAGUUAUAGAACUGAGAAAGGGUUUAGGUAUGGGAAGUGGGAGGAAGUGGCAGGAAAAGGGCAUAAGACAACUUAUAUGGUGAUAAAUACUCUCCCG